rnacentral:rRNA from 1 species
AUUGAACGCUGGCGGCAGGCCUAACACAUGCAAGUCGAGCGGAUGAAGGGAGCUUGCUCCUGGAUUCAGCGGCGGACGGGUGAGUAAUGCCUAGGAAUCUGCCUGGUAGUGGGGGAUAACGUCCGGAAACGGGCGCUAAUACCGCAUACGUCCUGAGGGAGAAAGUGGGGGAUCUUCGGACCUCACGCUAUCAGAUGAGCCUAGGUCGGAUUAGCUAGUUGGUGGGGUAAAGGCCUACCAAGGCGACGAUCCGUAACUGGUCUGAGAGGAUGAUCAGUCACACUGGAACUGAGACACGGUCCAGACUCCUACGGGGGGCCGCAGUGGGGAAUAUUGGACGAUGGGCGAAAGCCUGAUCCAGCCAUGCCGCGUGUGUGAAGAAGGUCUUCGGAUUGUAAAGCACUUUAAGUUGGGAGGAAGGGCAGUAAGUUAAUACCUUGCUGUUUUGACGUUACCAACAGAAUAAGCACCGGCUAACCUCGUG